CAGUCGCCGCGGUAAUACGUAGGGUGCGAGCGUUAAUCGGAAUUACUGGGCGUAAAGCGUGCGCAGGCGGUUGUGUAAGACAGGUGUGAAAUCCCCGGGCUCAACCUGGGAACUGCGCUUGUGACUGCACAGCCAGAGUAUGGCAGAGGGGGGUGGAAUUCCACGUGUAGCAGUGAAAUGCGUAGAGAUGUGGAGGAACACCGAUGGCGAAGGCAGCCCCCUGGGCCAAUACUGACGCUCAUGCACGAAAGCGUGGGGAGCAGACAGGAUUAGAACCCCAGUAGUCCCUGUCUCUUAUACA
rnacentral:rRNA from 1 species